GGGACUGUUAUCAUGUACUGCUCAGGAAAUAACAGCACCUGGGAAAAACCACAGAGUGUGGUUUUGUAAGAAGUUGCUCAGCCUUCAAGGGAGAAAAUGCCUGGCUCAACAUUGGCCAAGAGGAACAGGUCUGGGAAAUUACGACAUGAGAGAGAGGAAAGCACACUCCGGCUUUGAAAACUUGCAUAUCUGUUUUCACAUCCCAGGAGGACUGUGUCACUGCUCUGUCACAAGUCCACAUGUACCAUUCCCAUCCCAGGCUAGGUGGCCGGCAACCCCUGCACCUUGCUCUGCGUGGCUGUCUGGCUGGCCCAUGUGAAUUAGGGAAUAUGAAGGCACCAAGAGAAUAGAAGUAGAGGGAGUUGUCCUGCGCAGACCCCAAACUGAGAAGAGUGAAAUAAUGGACUCUUCCUUUCAGCAAAUUGUCUCAUAUGAGAAGAAUGAAAGACAACUGAUAAGCAACUUUCAGCAAGAAGACAUAAUAGCUCAUAUUCUGAUUAGUAAUAGUGAUUUGAAUCCAUGCAGAUGUAUCAAAUGCUGACAUAUGUAUGUAUAAUAUGUGUAUUUAUAUGAAUUGUCAUAGACUUGAUGCAUUUUUUCAUAUUGCUAAAGACUUAAUACUAAGUGCCAGUGUGAUAAAAUAUUUUACUUCCUUUCCCAUUAAUUUUGAUUAGCCUAAAUCGAGCUACUUUAAGUUCUCCUAUUCUUGCUUUUGUGAGAGGCAUUACUUUUCUCUCUCUGUGUGUGUAUCUUUAUUAACCAUAUUGUUUGGGCUCUUGAUAAAGGAGAUAUGACACAGUGUACAUUUGAGCUAAACAUUCAUUUCUUCAGCAAGGAUUUCUAUUUAAGACAUUGUGCUAGGCAAGGGAGAGAAGGGGUGCAGAGUGAUGAUGAAGCAAGAUGGGCCAGAUGAUUUAUUUAUUUAUUUUUUUUAAAGAUUUUAUUUAUUUAUUAGAGAGAGAGAAUGAGAGAGAGCACGAGAG